rnacentral:rRNA from 1 species
CCAAUAGCGUAUAUUAAAGUUGUUGCAGUUAAAAAGCUCGUAGUUGAAUUUCGGGAUUGGCGCAUCGGUCGUGCCUCACGGGGUAUGAACUGGUGCAGUCAAUUUCUCACCUUCUGGAGAACCGCGAUGUCCUUAAUUGGAUGCCGCGGGGAACCAGGACCUUUACUUUGAAAAAAUUAGAGUGUUUAAAGCAGGCAUUUUUGCUUGAAUACAUUAGCAUGGAAUAAUAAAAUAGGACGGAAUGGUUCUAUUUUGUUGGUUUCUAGGACCACCGUAAUGAUUAAUAGGGAUAGUUGGGGGCAUUAGUAUUCAAUUGUCAGAGGUGAAAUUCUUGGAUUUAUUGAAGACUAACUACUGCGAAAGCAUUUGCCAAGGAUGUUUUCAUUAAUCAAGAACGAAAGUUAGGGGAUCGAAGACGAUCAGAUACCGUCGUAGUCUUAACCAUAAACUAUGCCGACUAGGAAUCAGACGAUGUUAAUUUUUUAAUGACUCGUUUGGCACCUUACG